UCAGGCCUAACACAUGCAAGUCGAACGGACUACUUCGGUAGUUAGUGGCGAACGGGUGAGUAAUGCCUAGGAAUCUGCCAUUUAGUGGGGGAUAACGUUCCGAAAGGAACGCUAAUACCGCAUACGUCCUACGGGAGAAAGAGGGGGAUCUUCGGACCUCUUGCUAAAUGAUGAGCCUAGGUCAGAUUAGCUAGUUGGUGAGGUAAAGGCUCACCAAGGCGACGAUCUGUAGCGGGUCUGAGAGGAUGAUCCGCCACACUGGAACUGAGACACGGUCCAGACUCCUACGGGAGGCAGCAGUGGGGAAUAUUGGACAAUGGGCGCAAGCCUGAUCCAGCCAAGCCGCGUGUGUGAAGAAGGCCUUUUGGUUUAAAGCACAUAGAGCGAGGAGGAGGGUACUCUAGUUAAUACCUAGAUGAUCGGAC
rnacentral:rRNA from 1 species